CUGAGGGGUCCGGCCUGCUGUGUGCACCUGUCUCUGUCGCCCACCUGCCUCUGCACCGAUCUCCUUCCCAUCUGCCUUGUCAUCUCAGCGCAUGAUCUUGCAGAGGAACAGGCGAAGCAGUGACUGCGCCAUCCAGGGCACUUGAUAGGCUUGUACUGUCUCACUGCUCAGCCGUCUCAUCCAGACCAGCCCAUGGGUUCAGUUUGGCCGCAGGACUAAAGCCAGCCUGAACAUCCUCUCAGUGGCCAGUGGUGGGUGGCCCCUGGGAUGCCAAGCUCAGCCUUGUGACAUGGACACCACAGAACACUGUGAACUGGGGCGCAGCUGCUUCUAG